UACGUAGGUGGCAAGCGCUGUCCGGAUUUACUGGGCGUAAAGGGCGUGCAGGCGGUUUGUUUAGUCUAGGGUGAAAGCUCCCGGCUUAACUGGGAGAGGUCCUUGGAUACUGGCAAACUUGAGGGAGGCAGAGGAAAGUGGAAUUCCCGGUGUAGUGGUGAUAUGCGUAGAUAUCGGGAGGAACACCAGUGGCGAAGGCGGCUUUCUGGGCCUUACCUGACGCUGAGACGCGAAAGCGUGGGGAGCGAACCGG
rnacentral:rRNA from 1 species